GUUUGGAUCCGCCCUCCCAGCGUCUUCUCGUCCCCGACCCUCUAAGCGAAACUUCCGCCGACCUUCCGGGACAGAAAUCCCGCCUUUCUGGUGGCUUUGGAAUUCAUUGGGCUUGGGAAAGGCUUCCUGUAGAUGAUGAAGAAACUGAGGCCCAGAGAGACUGAGACAACUCUCUUUACACUUUUUUUCUCUACCUACACAAUCUGCUUUGAUCACUUCCUGAUGCCUGACUGUCUCAUAUACUUGGAGUCUUUGCUACCCUUUGAUGACAUUGACAAUGUUUGUCUGUCUCACGGAGAUAUGAAGAGCUCUACAUGAAUGGAUACAAGAGGACAAUGGAUCAUACUUAAAUGCUUAAUUCCCUGGUAAAGUGAAUGAAUAUAA